rnacentral:rRNA from 1 species
UACGUAGGUGGCGAGCGUGUCCGGAUUUACUGGGCGUAAAGAGCGCGCAGGCGGUCGUGCAAGUCGCGUGUGAAAGCCCCCGGCUCAACUGGGGAGGGUCACGCGAUACUGCUCGACUCGAAGGCAGGAGAGGGAAGUGGAAUUCCCGGUGUAGUGGUGAAAUGCGUAGAUAUCGGGAGGAACACCAGUGGCGAAGGCGACU